UGUGGUUCCAGAUUCAGCUCCUCAUGUGCCAGGAAGAAUGUGGAAUCUUGACUGGAGUUGCGUUGAAUCUGCAGAUCUGCCAACCCCGUGGAGGCUCUGACCCAUGCGUAUGUGCUGCCUUGAUCCCUGGGUCAUCUUCAACCUCUCUCAGAUCGUCAGGCUGGUGGCGUCCACGGCCUCAACUUUACCUCCGUGAUGGAAGAGGGGGACCUGAGGCUCCCAGGUUGCGUGAGAAGAGGAGGCAGGCCAGCUCCGGUCUGAAGCUGUGGUUUGCCCACCACUGGCACAGACCCAUGAGGCUUUCUUAGAGCUGCCAUGCCCAUCCUGGCUGAUGGGACCUCCUACCUCAGGGGCUCUGAGUCCAGCUGCCAGGAAGCUCAUCUUAGUGACCCACAGCCCCUGCUCACCUGCCUGGUGUCACUGGGGCUGAGAGCGAAACCUGCAGGCAUAACUGGCCCUGAUGGAUACACAGUAAGUGUAGAUGUGUUUGGGAUGAGGAAGAUGGGGGGUCCACAGCAACGACCCCCCGUACUCCCUUCUGUCCUGGGAGGAGGUUCGU